rnacentral:tRNA from 1 species
CAGUGAAUAGUUUAAUUUAGAAUAUGGUAUUUGGAUUACCAAGGUUCAAAUCACUGA